CCUACCUUUAGUUCUCUGCAAAACUGAUUGGCAAACAAAGUGACAAGAAUUUUAACUUGAUCUAUUUAUAAGCCUUAACACACUGCAAUAGAAUGAAUAAUGGUCCUCCAAAAGAUAUCCAAAUCUUGAUCCCUGGAACCUGUGAAUGUUACCUAUUUAUGUGGCAAAAAUGGACUUUGCAGGUGUUAUUCAGUUAAGAAUCUUGAGAUGGGGAAAAUAUCCUGGGUUAUCUAGGUAGACCCCAACUAUAAUUACAAAUGUCCUUGUAAAAGGGAGAUUUCAGGAGAAGAGAAGACAGUGCGACAACAGGCAGAGAUCAGAGUGAUGUGGCCGCAAGCCAAGGAAUGCUGGCAGCCACCAGAAGCUGGAAAGGCAAGAAAUGGAUUCUGCCCUAGAGCAGAGCUCGGCCCUGCUGACACCUUGAUUUCGGCCCAGUGAAACUGACUUCGGACUUCUGGCCUUCAGAACUAUGAGAAAUAUCUACAAGAACACUGAAGGGUCUAAGAUUUUACCCUUCCUCAAACAACAGUUUCAUGAAGGCUAGCAGAAGAUGUGAGAUCCUGGGUCAGAGACAAUGGAUUUAAUUACUUAGAGCACGAUUCUUAUUCAUUUGGUGAAUUAUGAACCAGCUACCAAGUAAUCAUUGAACAAGAGGUAAUGUCCUUGUAUGUAUGUGUUUUUAGUAAUUUGUAGAUCUGGGGCUUAAUUUUUUACUUCCUGAUUUUAACAAGACCGUUUUUUUUUCCUAAAGUGAAGUCUCUUCAACAGCUAUAUUUUUAAUUACCCUCCAGUCUUCACUCAAGAUGAAAUAGACCUGAAUGAAGAUAAUAAUUUGACAAGAAACUCUUGACACAAAGGUGUUCAUAAGGCAUAAAGGAGAAAAGCCCAUAUUAAGCCUGCCACCCUGGCAAUAUAUUUGGUGAGUGCAGACAUCACAGAACACAUCUUUUCCCUUUCCAUCACCUGGCUUUAUCAAACCCAUUCACCACCAAAACCUAUACAGCAGUGCUUAAGGAGCAGCAUAAAAGACUUAAAACUAGUGCCAGUGGAGCAGAACAUUUGCCCAGAAACCUAAACUUUUAAGAAACAGUAGCUGAUAAUGUUCUAAAUUUGAUGAGAACUUAAACCCAAGGAUGCAAGACUCUCACAGAACCCCAAGCAUAAGACACAUGAAGAAAACUACACUAAAGCACAUCCUAUAAUCAAAUUUUGUAAAAUCAGUGAUGAGAAAAAUCUUAAGAGCAGAAAGAGAAAAAAAGACAUUACAAGAGGAACAACAGGUACAAAUGACAGUACACUUCACCUCUGAGAAAGUAAGCCAGAAGACAUUAGAGCAAAAUAAUUAUUCAAAGGAAAAAAAAAAAGGUGAGCCUAGAAUUUUAUAAUCAAUAAAAAUAUAUUUUUUAAAAUGAAAGCAAAAUAAAACUUUUUUCAGACAUACAAAAGCUGAAAGAAUUAAUCACCAGCAGAUCUACAGUACCAGAAAUGUAAAAGGAUGUCCCUCAAGCAGAAGGAAAAUGGAUCUACUCUAAUGAAGAGUACUAGAGAUGAUAAUGUGUUGGUAAACAUAAAAGACACCUACCUACUUUUAAAAUCUCUUUAGAAGAUUACUGGCUGUUUAAAACAAAAUCAGCAAUGUGUUGUGGGGUUUAUAUAUAU